rnacentral:lncRNA from 1 species
AAUAAUGUUGAUGAUGUUGUUGCAUGAAUUGUACAAAACUUAUUUUUUUUUCUUUUGGCUUAAAUUAUGGCAAUUUGUUUCAUGGCCAUAGGAUGUAUGUUGUAACUUCAUGUAAUAGAUAAUUCAAAUUAAUAACAAAGUAGAACUUGCUUAAAUUUCAAUUUCAAUUUUGUAUGUAUUCAGCUCAAUUCAUGGCAUGUGAA